rnacentral:lncRNA from 10 species
AACUACUUUAGAAGAAAGUGUUAGAAGAAAGUGUCAUCUGUGUAAGAGAAAACAUUUGAGCUGGUACGUGAAGGAUUAGAAGGAACCACAAGUGGGCUGAGGGGAGGAAUAAUAAAGGCAAAGACCCAGAAGGCAAGCACAAACUUGGCAUGUUUGAGAAGUUAGAAGUGUGUCAUCUGUGUCUCUGUCAUGAGGAGUGCUCAAGUUCCCUCUAGGAGCCUUAUGGGCUAUCUAGCUCUUUUUCUCUUCUGAUCAUGUGCUUGCUUGCUUUCUUCUUUGCUUAUAUAGCAGAGUUCACAAAUUAAAUCUAAUGUAGGCUGGUUAAUAAAGGAAAUGAACAUGAAUUCACUGAUAGGCUCUUGCAUUAAUGUGAAAAUGUAAAGUCUGUUGUACACCAUCAGGCCUUCUAAAUGAAGCCCAAAUUCUGUAAGGUAGUGAAUUGUAACCUACUGAUUAGUACAUGAUCCAUGCCCAUUCUGUUAUAAGGACUUGCCUUUCUGAGACUUCACCUGUAUUAUUCCUAAGACUUUUGUGAAUAAUCCUUAAAGUAGUGACUCCUUACAUCUUUCUUUCAUUUCUUCUUUGUAGUCUGCCUUUGGGAAAAAAUAUUUGAGAUUUUAAAAUUGGAAGGAAAUUUAAUAUUUAUUGACUCUACUUUGGUAUUAUUUUCAGAGUGAGAAGUAACUUUAAGUGUAUUAAAAUUUCAUUCAUUUUUGCAUGAACCAAACUUUCCCUACACAUCGCUGUCCUUGACUGUCCAGAGUAAACAUGUCUAACUCUGGAAUGUUUCAUUUCCAAUAAAAGUAUUCAGCCUGUCAUUUUGGGCCUAAGUAAAAUGGGAUAAAUUAGCAAUCUGAAGUUAGGAUCCUAGCCACAGAGGGCCAUGUCUCAUUUCUGGUUUAAGUGCACCCCUCAUCCCCAGCCCUUACCUUCUUCUUUCUCUUAAGGAUUGAGACAAUCCUCUUGGUGCUCUUGGUGCAGGUGCAUCUUGGUCACCUCUUACAUGAGGGCCACAAACUUGGUAAAUGGGUGGCCUGGAGAUGGGGUUGUACUAGGUAUGUGACCUUGGUGAUUGCCUUGUCUCAGUUGUAGUAUAUGGCUGAGUCACAUUCAUAGUACACUACAUACACAUACUGACCAAAUGCCAAUGGCUAAGGCUUGAAAUUAUUUCACCAAGACCUAAACUGAAGAUUACCAUCAUAAAAUAAGCUUCUAGAAUCCAUGAAUAAGUAGGAAAUCAUAUUUAAAAUUUACUGUAAUUUUAUUAAAGCUCAUUUUUUAAAUUUAAUGCAGUGCAGAGUCAUUAAUUUCUCAGCAGUAUCAGGUGCUAAAUUGCUCACUCAUUAAACUACUAAUUUAAGAUAGUUAUUUUAAAUUAUAGAACAGGAAGCAACUUACGAGGUUGCAACCAAAUUAUAUUUAUUUUUUCUCCAUUAGUAACUGACUAAAAGUGUUUUCUUCAACUUUUUUUUUUUUUUUUUUUUUUGACAGAAGGCGAAGGGGAAGCAAGGUACUUCUUACAUGGCAGAGGGAAAAACUGCCCCGAAGACAUGGUUUCUAAGAUUUCUCCCAAUGAGACAAAUCACUUGUCUGGGAUGUCAGGGGGAGAAGAUGCAGAAUCUGAGCCCCUUGUAUAAAUAGACAAAAGGUGAAAGCAUUGGCAAUAGAUCAAAAAGGCAUUCCACGUAGCAAAAAAAUUAUUUUUAAAUCUGAAACAAUGCUUGAGUAGGAAAGUUAAAGAAAUAGAAAUUGCCUGUUUUAAUCUAUUCAUCCUGGCAGCAGGUAUGUAUUGUAUCUGUCCAGAGUCCAAAACGUCAGCUCCCUCCACUUGCCUUCCCCAUUUCACAUAAACUAUAAAAGUUAGAAAUAAUAUAUUAUGUCAUAUCCUAACAUCAGUUCAAUGAAUAUAGUUUUUAAAAUACCUACUAUGUGCUAGAUACUGAGGACAGAAUGAUAAAAUACAAAACAAAGCUAACUAAAAACACAGUUUAACUAGUCUUGUCUACGAUUACCUGCCCUAACUAUAACUUCAUUUAAGGGGAGAUACUGCUAAAGGGAGUUCCUUCUGUGACUGCACACUCUGAUACCAAUAUGUGACUUCUCCCUGGCUACAACUGAUUAAAUGAGGGAAGAAAACUGAUCCAAGGGGAGUUAGUCCAAUAGCUUGUAAAUGGUGGGUUCUUAUCAGAGUUUUCUCACUAAGUUAGAACCAAGAGGCUGAGGGUUGUGGGGGCUACUUAAGCAUGAGUGGGGUGGCAAGGGUUGUCCCACAGCAGGUUUACUUGGACUCCAAAAUGAUGUAGAGUUUAGUGAGGCAGCUCCUUGAGUUUGAACUUAGAGCCCUUUUGGCUACCAGGGCACCUGCAGUCCUCCAAGAUAGUAGAGUCUGAACCAGUUAAAGAGCCAGCUACCACAGCUUUGCAGAAACCACUGUUUCUCCUUAACUCUAGGGCUCAGCGGUUGAACUCCUUAGAAUAAAACUUUCUGUCUGC